AACGAACGCUGGCGGCAGGCCUAACACAUGCAAGUCGAGCGGGGUUUUCGGACCUAGCGGCGGACGGGUGAGUAAUGCGUAGGAAGCUGCCCGAUAGAGGGGGAUACCAGUUGGAAACGACUGUUAAUACCGCAUAAUGUCUACGGACCAAAGUGUGGGACCUUCGGGCCACAUGCUAUCGGAUGCGCCUACGUGGGAUU
rnacentral:rRNA from 1 species